AGCAUUUGCGUCAUUCAUGGGAUUUCAACUCCCAGUCAUUUCAUUCCCCUCCCACUCUCCCCCCAUUACUUCCACCCUCUCUCCUCCCUCAGUAGGACUCGUCCCUAACCCUAGCCGCCGCCUCCUUCCGAAUCUGCUUCUACCUGCCGUCGUCUCGACCAACCGCCUUUGUCACGGCGAAUCGGUGACCAUCUCGAUGAGGGAAUCCCGGUGUAUACCCAACAAAUUCAGUUUCGGUGACGAAAGCAUUUCAAUUAACAUCUGAUUUCAACUGCGGGGUGAAAGUUUCUGAAGAACUUCCUACAAAAUGGUGAACAAUUGAACCAUGUCGAAGUGGCCUGCUAGUCAACCAACAAGUUCAACGAGUGCAAGAAUCGUUUCGAGGAUGACUUUGAUGAUGAUAUGCCCAUUGCAUUAACGCAACAACAAGCUUUAAAGAUGUUCAAAGAUGUGCUAUAUUAUCAUUGUGUUGUAGAUUAUAAUGUGCGAAAAUUGUAUUUUAAUGUCGACUAUAAUUUGUUUGAUGAGGGGCAUAAGUUAUAUCCAUUCCCCAAUGGUUUAAUAGCCCAUGGGGCUAGGGUGUAACACCAACCCAGUAGCACAACGUUCACUAAGGGCAAGGAGUUAGAGUCGUUCUUGUAGGAUUCAAUUAUUUUUUGUUUUGUGUAGUAGUUUCUGUUGUAUUCUUACACUUAUUUGGUUACAUUAUUCAGGUUAAUAGUUACAUUAUUUGCUACUAA